CGUCGAGACCUCUCUCUCUCCCAUCUUCUAAUUUCUUUCUCCCCCAAAUUGGAUUCCAAAUUGAGAAAACAACCCAGUGGCACCUCAAUCCUCUUUCUCGUGGCCUCUCCGGCGGAAAUCGCCGUCUCGACGGAAACGUCGCUGGUGAGCGGCGCUGCUGCAUGCGUCGCCGUCCUCUUCUCCGGCCCAAACAGCCGCCGCUGCCCGCUCUCCUGUUCCGCCGCGUUUAGGCAGCAAACACACCAGCCCCCAUCGCCGUCGAUCGGCCUCUGUUGGACGGUCCCCUCGUUCCAGUGGAAGCCGUCUCUGCUGCCUUCGUGAAGGACGAUCGGUGACCAGGGGUCUCGCCCUCUCUUAUGCACCGCCACCUCUGCACCCGACUCGGCGAGUAGCUGCUGUUGUUUGGUGGAGGCGCUGAUCGUGUCGUUCGUCGUCGUUGCCCGUCACCGUCGCGGUCGGCCCUUCGUCUCCAGCCGACAUCGCGGCUGUGUGACCUACUACAGCGGAUCUUCUCCCGUUGAUCUAGACUCGGGGUCUAGCCCCCAACACUGCCGACACAUCCGUCUGCCGCCUCCCUUGUUUCUCGGCGCUGUGGUUGCAGAGGAGCGGGCGUCGUUUUCUCGGCCAGACCUCUGACACCAUCGCGCUCCCUUCCGUCAACGCCUUAGCUCGGCUGGAAUCCCGACAUUGAGCUGGAACUCGGCCGCGGUUCCCUCCGCCGGCGCCCUUCCGUCGUCACCGCCAUCUCCGACAACCCCUAAAGCUAAGCCUUCUUUCGUUUAUUACUUAGCUUAUGUUAUGGGUUCUAUUUGGCAGAAGCUAAGUUCUCCUUCUCCCUAUGUUCUUACGGUAGAUUUACUAUGUUCAACCGAUUAUGUUUUGAUUACCGUGUCUGAGUUCUAAUUACGGUAUCCUAGCAUGCUUGUGAUGCCUACAUGAUGACAUGGGUUUAAGAAGAGUUCGAAGGAGGUUUUACCUUCGCUGCUGCGUAUCUUGUUGUCCCUUACUCUCGGCUUUGAUCCCCUUUACUCCCUCUCGCUGCUUCGCUCUCUCCCACUCUAAGCCUCACUGUAUUACAAUUGAUUUGUGGAGAUGGGAAAGGGAGGAAGAGGCUGAGGGCUUAUCCCUUAUAUAGAGGGGAGGUGUAACUGAAAGCCUGCAAGGCUGUGGUGUGUGCUGUUACUGGCCCUUAGGCUGCACAAAGCAGCUGAUCUGUUUGUGGCAUUCCAGUGCAAGUACUCUGGCCCUCCAGUUCCUUUUGUAACUGAUUUCGGUGGCUUAUGGGGCGUACUCGUGGAUUAAAUGGGGCUGCUCUCUCCAUUGUAUCCUGCUACAGAGAUCCCUUUGCUCCCCUUUGUUUUAUUGCAGCGCCUUUAACUGAUUUGCAGGAGUAUAACACUACUUGAUAAGCUGCUGAAAAGUUCUUGCAGGGGCAGUUGCUAGGCAGGGCUAUUGGGCUGGGUGCGGUGCCCCUGCCGCUGCGCAGUGAGCUGGCUGGACUUGCCCCUUUCGACCAAGCCUUCCUCUUUUCUUUGGGAAAGGAGCUGCGGCUGGCCAACGAGGCUGUCUUCCCUCGUGGUCUCGCCCUCCCGGCUCGUUUGAAGAUCUGGGGCCGAGACGGCCCGGUGACGAAGGCCAAAGUAGCCCUUAGGAAUUUCUAAAUGUAAUAGUGUAGCUCGACUUUUAUUUUCGUCGUCAAAGUUUGUAAUUUUAGUUUGAGAUUCUGAAAAAAAUGUAACUGUACUCCUUUUCAAGCAAUAAAAAUACUCCAUCAUACUUUAAAAA